GCAGCACUUGGGGAAGGGUAGCCAUUGUCCUUUUGCCUUCUGCCUGGGGCCAGGGCAGGGUCUGAGCAGAGGCCUCCUUGGUCACCCUGCUCAUCAGGCAGGUGUUCUGCAAAGGUUCAUCGGUCUGCCUUCAGAAUUCUCCUUCCCAUGCUCACGGCAAAUCACAGUUCAACAGGUUCUUUAUGGGGCACCUGCUGCACAAAGGAGGCUCUGAGCUGACCAUUUCUCAGGACAGAUACUAAGAUGAACAAGACAAGCCAUCCCCCAUGUGCAACCACCCCACCAUAAGCCUAGACCAGUGGUCUCCAAAGUUUUUUUGAUCGUGCUCUGUAGCAAUAAAA
rnacentral:lncRNA from 1 species